rnacentral:rRNA from 1 species
UACGUAGGGUCCGAGCGUUGUCCGGAAUUACUGGGCGUAAAGAGCUCGUAGGUGGUUUGUCGCGUUGUUCGUGAAAACUCACAGUCUCAACUGUGGGCGUGCGGGCGAUACGGGCAGACUUGAGUACUGCAGGGGAGACUGGAAUUCCUGGUGUAGCGGUGGAAUGCGCAGAUAUCAGGAGGAACACCGGUGGCGAAGGCGGGUCUCUGGGCAGUAACUGACGCUGAGGAGCGAAAGCGUGGGGAGCGAACAGG